AUCUUUUCAAGCAGCUGCAUUGAUUGUUUUCACAAAGGCUGGUCAAGUUGAUAAGUUUCUAGAAUAACCUGGCAAAACUGAGAUAAGCCCUGUACAUGUAUCCACAGGAAGUCCAAGAAAGAAUGUGAAGACCUGGCUGCCUAUGACCUGACCCUGAUGCUUUGUGUGAACCACUACCCCAGGAAGUGAGCCCAGGAAAGAAAUCAGGAUGGAGGCAAUUGGUCAACCUCAGCUCUGAGAAGAAAUGGGGUUCUCUGAGUGUACUGCCUACCUCCUGAAAAACAACCAAGCACUACA